CUGAGUAGCGGCGAGCGAAACGGGAAGAGCCCAAACCAACAAGCUUGCUUGUUGGGGUUGUAGGACUCCAAUAUGGUAGUCUGUUAGUAUAGUUGAAGGAUUUGGAAAAUUCCGCUAAAGAGGGUGAAAGCCCCGUAGACGAAAUGCUAACAACACCUAGGAGGAUCCUGAGUACGGCGGAACACGAGAAAUUCCGUCGGAAUCCGCGGGGACCAUCCCGCAAGGCUAAAUACUCCCUAGUGACCGAUAGUGAACCAGUACCGUGAGGGAAAGGUGAAAAGCACCCCGGAAGGGGAGUGAAAUAGAUCCUGAAACCGUGUGCCUACAACAAGUCAAAGCUCGUUAAUGAGUGAUGGCGUGCCUUUUGUAGAAUGAACCGGCGAGUUACGAUU
rnacentral:rRNA from 1 species